rnacentral:rRNA from 1 species
GACGAACCGUCCAAACGUUAUUCGGAGUCACUGGGCUUAAAGGGUGCGUAGGCGGCGCGGAAAGUUGGGUGUGAAAUCCCUCGGCUCAACCGAGGAACUGCGCCCAAAACUACCGUGCUCGAGGGAGAUAGAGGUGAGCGGAACUUAGGGUGGAGCGGUGAAAUGCGUUGAUAUCCUAAGGAACACCGGUGGCGAAAGCGGCUCACUGGAUCUCUUCUGACGCUGAGGCACGAAAGCUAGGGUAGCGAACGGG